rnacentral:sRNA from 1 species
GCUGGGUGUGGUGGUGCAGGCCUAUAAUCCCAGCAGCUUGGAGGCUGAGACAGGAGGAUUGAGAGUUCAAAGCCAGGCACAGAAAAAGCAAGGUGCUAAGCAACUCAGAGAGACCCUGUCUCUA